rnacentral:rRNA from 1 species
AGUGAACGCUGGCGGUAGGCCUAACACAUGCAAGUCGAACGGCAGCACAGUAAGAGCUUGCUCUUACGGGUGGCGAGUGGCGGACGGGUGAGGAAUACAUCGGAAUCUACUUUUUCGUGGGGGAUAACGUAGGGAAACUUACGCUAAUACCGCAUACGACCUACGGGUGAAAGCAGGGGAUCUUCGGACCUUGCGCGAUUGAAUGAGCCGCUGUCGGAUUAGCUGGUUGGCGGGGUAAAGGCCCACCAAGGCGAGGAUCGGUAGCUGGUCUGAGAGGAUGAUCAGCCACACUGGAACUGAGACAGGGUCCAGACUACUACGGGAGGGAGCAGUGGGGAAUAUUGGACAAUGGGCGGAAGCCUGAUCCAGCCAUACCGCGUGGGUGAAGAAGGCCUUCGGGUUGUAAAGCCCUUUUGUUGGGAAAGAAAAGCAGCAGGUUAAUACCCCGCUGUUCUGACGGUACCCAAAGAAUAAGCACCGGCUAACUUCGUG